rnacentral:lncRNA from 1 species
GUGGCAGCGGGUUCUUGUGAUAGAGGAGUAGUCAGGGUUUCUAGAGUUUGUUCUUUUGUUUUUUUUUUUUUUUUGAAGAAACUGGAAUCGAUUAACCAGGGCACAGAAGCCACAAGAACAACAGAAGCCUACCCAGAGGCAAACAGCAGAGGAAACCUGGUAAUGCAAGGGGAUGAGAGACACAGACGCAACAAAACAACAAACCAGCGUCCCCCCUCCCAUUACCAAGCAAACUCAGGGAGGACAAGGGAGUCCAUCAUUACAUAAAACAUGAACCAAGGAAGAUGGAGGCCUAUUGACCCAAGUAAAAUCACACAUCUCCCUAUUUCUUUGUUCUUUUGUUUUGGGCUUAAAUCCUUGUAUUGGCUCUUAAUUUGUUGCUUGGCUGGUUCACAUCUUUGAUUAUUACUUCACUUUGUAAAUGGACCAAUUGAUUUACCUUUGUUUACGACAAUAAAUUACCAUUUC